UACGGAGGGUGCAAGCGUUGUCCGGAUUUAUUGGGUUUAAAGGGUGCGUAGGUGGUUUUUUAAGUCUGGUUUGAAAGCAAGUGGCUCAACCAUUUGAUGUGGCUGGAAACUGGGGAACUUGAAUGGAUUGGCGGUAGCCGGAACGGGUCAUGUAGCGGUGAAAUGCAUAGAUAUGUCACAGAACACCAAUUGCGAAGGCAGCUUACUAAAGUGUGAUUGACACUGAGGCACGAAAGCGUGGGGAUCAAACAGG
rnacentral:rRNA from 1 species